GAUUUUAAGUUAUUGUAGGAUUUGUGUGUAGAGAUGUAACAAAAAAUAUUUUAUUAAUAGAAAAUAACAUCUCUAUAUACAUUUAUAUCAGGUAUCCACUAAGACUUACAAUGUAAAAAUCUUCUAAAAUGAAACAGCAAGACAAGCAAACAGCUCAAUAAUGCAAAUUUCUUUGAAUUGUAUAGAUCAUAUUUACAGCACAUAGCAAUUUUCUGUAGAUAUGGUAAUGUGUCAAGGAUAGCAACACAUCAAUUUGUAAAUUUUAGAUAACGAAAAAUGUCAAGUAUGGCGCAAAAAUAUAUUCCACAAAACAUAACAAUAUCGACAAAAAGAUUUCUAUCGUAAUUAUACAAAAACAGAAAACAUAAAAUACAUAUAUACAAUUGUACGUUAUACAAAAACUGCAGUGAUAUUAAUUUAUUUUACAUUAGAAGAAUUAAAACGUGUAAGUAUUUUCGUAAAAAAGUAUUGGUAGCCUCACGUCUCGUAACAGGGGGAAAGAAGCGUAAGUUUACUGUAAUGCUAAAACGUGGGAUGUUUACAGGAUAUUCAUCGUCCGCGUAUGGUAGGAAAGACAAAUAUUUACAUCAAGAGCUACUUUCAACAGAUGAUUCUUCAGUGUAAACUAAAAUACAUUGUUAACACAGCAGGCUUAGCACAAUACAUUGGAAAAUAAGGCUAUUACAAUAAGGAAUGAUAAUGUAAAAUCAUGCUAACAUGCACCUUCUAUACAUCAACAAAAAAAAAUCAGUUCUUACUUUUUGGUAUUCUGUCAACAUGAAGAAAGGCAUGAAUUGCAAAUUGUGUUUAGCACUAGCCAACAUGAGACGAUCUCUCUCCAAGCUGCUGAGUGUAGAAUUGUAACAACCAACAAUUGAUAGAUCAGCCAACAUUCUGGUUUGGCGGUUGCUUGCCAAAUUAUAUGGACACGCCAUAAACUACAUAAAUUAUAACGUUGUUUAUGAAGAAGAUUUGAAUCGAUACUUGCAUAUAGAAGCUUCAAAUAUCUGUAUCAACAAAGCAACAGCUGUUUCGAUAGGAAGAAUUACAUCUAUAUAAAGUGGAAGAAAAGGAAGAUUCAAGAUAAGGGGAAAUGCUUAUCUUAAUGUGUUUCUAAAUGUGAAAGCCUUUCAGAUAACAUACUUAAUGCUAUACUCAUUAAAGAAGUCAUUGUUAUGAAUUUAUGACCAUAUUAAGAUACAAAAAUCUCUUCAAAUUAUUAAACAGGAUUGAGAUUUAUAAUA